AGAUCUGGAGCCAUGAUGCUCAUUUAUAAUGUUAACUUUAAUUAUUUGUAAAUAUAUAUAUAUAUAUCAUAUAAAUGUCUAUGAACUUAAUUGCACUUACUUUUUUCACAUUUAAAACUGCUAAUUUUAAGAAUUGAAACGUAAAUGAAAAAUACGCAAUCAUAAGUGUUUAUGAAAAUUUGUCAGCUUGUAAUAAUAAGCUGUAAUGACAUGAGAAAUGCUCACUUGCGCUACAAACAUUCUAAGGGAAACCUGUGUAAAUCAAUAUACAUUUAAGAUACAUUAUAGCAUUGAUAAAUAAUAAAAAAAAAAUAUGAUAAUAAUAAUAAUAAUGUAAGCAUCUUAUCCAUCAUUUGUUUCUUAUAUGUCUACCAAUGCUUGUUUUUUUAAAUAUGUGUAAAAUUUGGAGCUAUUGCAUAUUUGCUGGUAAUAGCUUGUUAAGGUUAAAAGUAAUGUAAGUGUCUUAAGCAUUUAUCUCAGAUUACUCAAAUUUUAUGUUAAUAGUUUAAUAGUCAUUUUCUAGUCUGAUCAUUUGCUGUGGGGAAAAAAUGAGAACGAAAGAGAAUGAAACAAGCUUACUGAGGGGAAUGGCGUUUUGUUUUCCUGUUUGCUCUUUUUUCUUCGCAAAAGCAUGAGCCUCUUUUUAUGAAUACAAAUGUAUUAAUCUCUGAUGUAUAAAAUUUAUUUAAAAAGUAGCUCAUUCUCUUUUCAUUGACCAAAUUUUUCAGAAAAAAGAAUGGCAACUUGCAAGAUCCUCUUUUUUGCACUGUUUAUAUCAUGUGGGAAAUGUGAUGUGUUCUAUAAGCAAGUCGGGGAUGAGGUUACCCUGAAGUGUGGAGCACCUUCAAACAGUGAUACCGAAUGGAAAUUUAACAACGAUAUUAUCUUUAACAUCAGAGGCAAAACUGGAACUAAACGGAAGGGUCUUUCCCAUAUUGCAUCAAAA